UACAGAGGUCUCAAGCGUUGUUCGGAUUCAUUGGGCGUAAAGGGUGCGUAGGCGGCGCGGUAAGUCGGAUGUGAAAUCUUGGAGCUUAACUCCGAAACUGCAUCCGAUACUGCCGUGCUUGAGGACUGGAGAGGAGACUGGAAUUUACGGUGUAGCGGUGAAAUGCGUAGAUAUCGUAAGGAAGACCAGUGGCGAAGGCGGGUCUCUGGACAGUUCCUGACGCUGAAGCACGAAGGCCAGGGGAGCAAACGGG
rnacentral:rRNA from 1 species